GUCUGGUGCCAGCAGCCGCGGUAAUUCCAGCUCCAAUAGCGUAUAUUAAAGUUGUUGCAGUUAAAAAGCUCGUAGUUGGAUUUCAGGGGCCUGGAGUGUGGUCCGCCGAAAGGCGAGCACCGCAAUCUCUGGGACCACCUUCCCGAGGACCCGUGUGCCCUUAACUGGGUGUGCGUGGGAGUCGGGGACUUUACUUUGAAAAAAUUAGAGUGUUCAAAGCAGGCGUUUGCUUGAAUACAUUAGCAUGGAAUAAUGGAAUAGGACUUUGGUUCUAUUUUGUUGGUUUCUAGGACCGAGGUAAUGAUUAAUAGGGACAGUUGGGGGCAUUAGUAUUUAAUUGUCAGAGGUGAAAUUCUUGGAUUUAUGAAAGACUAACUUCUGCGAAAGCAUUUGCCAAGGAUGUUUUCAUUAAUCAAGAACGAAAGUUAGGGGAUCGAAGACGAUUAGAUACCGUCGUAGUCUUAACCAUAAACUAUGCCGACUAGGGAUCUGUGGGUGUUUUUACAAGACUCCAUGGGCACCUUGUGAGAAAUCAAAG
rnacentral:rRNA from 1 species